UGGGGAAUUUUUCGCAAUGGGCGAAAGCCUGACGAAGCAACGCCGCGUGGAGGAUGAAGGCCUUCGGGUCGUAAACUCCUGUCGACCGGGACGAAAGCGGUCUGGCCGAACAAGCCGGACUGUUGACUGUACCGGUGGAGGAAGCCACGGCUAACUCUGUGCCAGCAGCCGCGGUAAUACAGAGGUGGCAAGCGUUGUUCGGAAUUACUGGGCGUAAAGGGCGCGUAGGCGGCCCGAUAAGUCCCGCGUGAAAGCCCCUGGCUCAACUGGGGAACUGCGCGGGAAACUGACGGGCUUGAGUUCGGGAGAGGGAAGCGGAAUUCCGGGUGUAGCGGUGAAAUGCGUAGAUAUCCGGAGGAACACCAGUGGCGAAGGCGGCUUCCUGGACCGACACUGACGCUGAGGCGCGAAAGCUAGGGGAGCAAACGGG
rnacentral:rRNA from 1 species